CCAUCUCUAGUAAUCCUUUCAUGCCACUGAAGGUUUUGAUGCCAACAUUAUCACCAGCUUUAUAUUGGCAUUCCUUUGUACACAUUCUUUUAAUUUGUUGGUCUUCCCAUUCUAAUGAGUCUGUACCGGUAAAGCUGCUGAAACCAAACCACCACUGAUGGAGGUAGUUGCUGGGUUCAGCUUUGAGUAUCCUCAUUUCUGAUCUUGUCCUGCUACUUGAUAUGGAACAACUGACAACAACAAUGAGAAUUUAAAAGCUUAAUUCAGUGUUCUUCAGCUUUCCUCAGUGUCUAUGUUUCGCUGCUGUACAACAGAGUCGGUAUAACUGGUUCUAUAGACCCAGAGCUUCAUAGCAAACAUUGUCACAACAUCCCUACAGAGGCAACUGAAGGGCCCAAAACAUGGCAGCAGUGUACACAUCUUCCAAGCAUCCUCCAGCACCGUUUAUGACAUUACUGACCUGAAAGUUGUCACCUGCUCAAUAUUCUGUCUGGGCAGGUUAAUACUGAGCAGGUUGUAAUCUGGAGCUGGAGGCUGUUUGAUGAUAAUGGCCAGCAAUUUAGCCUUCUCUGGAUGAUGAUCAUAGUGGUCCCUUUUGGCCUUGGAAUCUAUGAAUCUGGCAUUGACUGAACCACUUUGUUUUGUUUUGUUUUUCCAUUAUAGAGCUCUUGUCACUAUCUUCCCAGGGAUGCCAAGUCACUUAAUCAGAUACGACAAACUUGCUUGAUGCACUGAAUCAGAGGCCUGAUGGAAGUCUAUAUAAAGUACUGCUCAUGGCUUAUGAAAUGCAGCCAUCUUCUCAAAAAGCUGUCUCAAGGAAUUACAAAAGGGGGUAAGCAAUGACUGCUCCUUAUACCCUGUUCAGAUGCUGCUGCUGAGACCAGGACUCGAUAGAUGACAAUGACCCACUGGACCACGAUCACCACUGGAACAGCUACCGCAGCAGAGAAUGGCGAUGAACGAUGAUGAAGAAUCAGCUUCAACCAUUGUAUCUGUCUCUUCACUGAUCUGUGGGUGACAUUGGAAGGGCAAAGGCCCCAGAGUGAGCUGGCAGCAAUCAGCCCUGAUGACUUGAAACACCAUUCCUCAUCAGAUGACGGAGAGAGUGAGAUUUCAGUCUCUAAUGCUUUGAUGGCCCUAAGGAGUUCAGAACAGAAAGCCAUUUGAUAGCUUGGUUGUAAGAAGAGCUUUUGGUUGACUCAGACUAAUUUCAGCCCACUAACUUUUUUUUUUCUUUCAAAGUAGGAGGCACAUUUUUGUAUCUGCGUGCCCAUACAUCACACACUGUUGAUCACCAGUGAUUGUUAACGAGGACAUGAUCAAUAACAGUCCCAGUGAAACCAACUGGGCUGUACCUACUCUGUUUGUGAAUCUUGGGUGACGGAGGAAUGAAUCAGCAAUCACCAUGUUAUUGGCAGCUGCAAAUUCUAUCAGUUGUUGCCCAUUUCUGUUGUUCUGCUGGAUACCAAACUUCCUGAGAGUACUUGCACAGGUCACUAUACUUUCUUACUUGUGCAUUAAAGUUGCCCAGGGUCAUGAUGACAUCUCUUCUCAGAGUUUCAUUACGGAUUGAUUGCAGUUGUUGGUAAAAAAUAUCUGCAGCUACAUUAUAGGCCUUGGUUGAACCAUACACGGCAAUGAUGGUAAGAUGUCCGCAGCUAUUAUGGAAUCGGAUGCUGAAAAGUCACUUCUUAAUCACCUCCAUUCCCUGCACUGCCUGUUGGGCAAUGAGUGAAAGUACAAUGGCCAUUCCUUGCUGGAAAACCUGUCGGGAUGGCCUGAGAACAAAAACGUAUAAUCCUCAACUUUCUUUUCACCACUCCUGGCCAGUGUAGUUUAGAUAAAAUACAGAUAUCAAUGUUCAGACUUUUCAAUUGCUUGAUUUAACUGUUUCAGAAUGUGUUUUGAUGUUCCAGGCACCAAUUUUACAUUCACCACCAACAUGCAGGAUCCUGGAAUAGCCCUUUUGUAAGGUUUCUUUGGUCAUUUUUGCAUAAAUGGCAGGUUGAUUCAGGACAAUUGACCAGAUUGUUGCAGGUGGUUGGCUUUAGUGUUAAACACUCUGAACAAACUGGGGUCUCUCAUAGUCAAAUUUUGUUUAAUUUACCUUUCAUUUGGUUUUAUUAGCAAAUUCUGUUUUUCCUCUAGUUUGGAAUAACUGAGCUUCUGUAGAAAGCAACUUCCUUGUUAAUUUGCCCAUUACCAUCUGUGAAGGUGAUGCCAUUCCUUCUCCUGGUAUAUUCUUAAAUCCAGUGCAACUAGAAACGGAUCCUUAUUGUUAUGGCUGGCUAACUUCAAGAGACUUUUUUCACUGUCUGUCUGAAUAGCUCUCUCAGCCAUCCUGUUGCUCUGAGGAUAUUUUGGUGAUAAUGUGAUAAUCUCAGAUCUUAGUGAAUUCUUUAAAUAAUGUAUUUGACUAUUGGGGUCCAUUAUCAGCCAUCAGAACCUGUAAUAUUUCAUGCCUUGCAAACUGUGAUUUUUAGUAUAGGUGAUCUCCAUUCUACUGCUUGUGUUUAUGUUGUAUCAACCAGGCAAGGUACUAACAAACUUCAACAGGACUUUAUUUUUAAAGUGGAAACCUCUUUACCAAGCUGCUGCUGCACCCUCUGUAACUCUCACUCUGCCUCCAACUCCUCCCCCCUCCUUCCUGUUUCCUGUCCUUUCAGACUCCCAACAGCAAGUGCUCCCAGUUCUAAUAAUCAUAAGCAACAUCUAAAUACCACAGUUUGUUAGUUUUGAAAGCUUCAUGCAUUUAAAGCAGUAAUCAAAGAACAGUAAACAGAUUUCUUUGUCAGAUUCAAAUUAGUCCAUUUUUUUUAGUCUGUGUUUACAUUGUGGCCAAAGUUACCUACCUGUUGGGAAGGAUAUUUGAUACUUGUUUGUCUUCUGAUUACUCAUCUGCAUUUUGUGAUUCACCUCUACAGUAACAUUUUCAUUUACAUAAUCUUCAUGCCAAUAGAAGUAUAAUAAUUUUCCUUCCACAUACAUGGUCACAAGCUUCAGUUUCAGAUCUUCUUUCCUUUUCUUAAUCUAUUUUAUAACAGAUAGUCAAUAUAUUUCUUAACCAUCUCCCCUCUUACUCUACCUCUGGACUAGUUAUUUGACUAUGGACGAAUCUGUUUGAGAAAUGGUGCUGUCCAGUGAAGAGGUGGCUGUGUAAUAUGAAAUAAAUGUGACUUAAAUGCUUUCAAGUGGGUUAAAGUAAAUAUCAAUUAUGUGAAAAUGAGAACAGAAAUGUAUAGAGUGACCAUGAUAUAUGUAAUUUUUAAAGAAAU